GUGCCGGGGAGCCUGGCACCCGCCAGCGCCUCGCGCCUAGGCCUGCGCUGGGGCAGCUCCCGGGACACGGGGUCGCUGGCCCCAGCCAAGGCCCGCUCACAUCCCCGAGCGGGUGGAGGGCUAGAGCUCUGGGGCGAGCCCCCUCCCUUGUGCUGCCAGGCGGGGACCCCUCCGCUGCCGCUCGGACCACAGAAAGCCCCUUAUCUUGGGGGGGCGCUUGCCAUACCAGCCCAAGGGGGGGAUUUAAACCGGGUUACGCAACUGCUGCAGCGGACUGUGUGGACGCUCAUCCUCGGUGUGGAACAUCUCCCUUAGGAGAAUUUAUUGGUCAACUCUUGUACCUUAGUGGCUCAGCUGAACAGAUGCAGGAAGAAAUCUGGACACUUGAAUGCUCAGACACCUCUCAAGUUCCCCUGCAGACGGAAAGCCAGCCACUGGACAUUUGCAUUUAUCGAGACCUCCUCAUGACCCUGGGUAAAUAUGAAUCUAGGGGGUAAUUUGUAAGACAUAUUUAAGUGCUGGAGACUAAAUAAAGUAGAAGCUUUGCAUGAAAGCA
rnacentral:lncRNA from 1 species